rfam:Danio rerio chromosome 12, GRCz11 reference primary assembly.
GGUAGUGUGGCUGUGGGGUCUAAGGCGCUGGAUUUAGUCUCCAGUCUCUUCGGGGGUGUGGGUUUGAAUCCCACCGCUGCCA